rnacentral:rRNA from 1 species
UACAGAGGUCUCAAGCGUUGUUCGGAUUCAUUGGGCGUAAAGGGUGUGUAGGUGGCGCGCUAAGUCGGGUGUGAAAUUUCGGAGCUUAACUCCGAAACUGCAUUCGAUACUGGCGUGCUUGAGGACGGGAGAGGAGACUGGAAUUCAUGGUGUAGCAGUGAAAUGCGUAGAGAUCAGGAGGAAGACCAGUGGCGAAGGCGGGUCUCUGGACAGUUCCUGACACUGAGACACGAAAGCCAGGGGAGCAAACGGG